rnacentral:rRNA from 1 species
UUGGUCAGGUUGAAGUUCAGGUAACACUGAAUGGAGGACCGAACCGACUUACGUUGAAAAGUGAGCGGAUGAACUGAGGGUAGCGGAGAAAUUCCAAUCGAACCUGGAGAUAGCUGGUUCUCUCCGAAAUAGCUUUAGGGCUAGCCUCAAGUGAUGAUUAUUGGAGGUAGAGCACUGUUUGGACGAGGGGCCCCUCUCGGGUUACCGAAUUCAGACAAACUCCGAAUGCCAAUUAAUUUAACUUGGGAGUCAGAACAUGGGUGAUAAGGUCCGUGUUCGAAAGGGAAACAGCCCAGACCACCAGCUAAGGUCCCAAAAUAUAUGUUAAGUGGAAAAGGAUGUGGCGUUGCCCAGACAACUAGGAUGUUGGCUUAGAAGCAGCCAUCAUUUAAAGAGUGCGUAAUAGCUCACUAGUCGAGUGACACUGCGCCGAAAAUGUACCGGGGCUAAACAUAUUACCGAAGCUGUGGAUUGUCCUUUGGACAAUGGUAGGAGAGCGUUCUAAGGGCGUUGAAGCAUGAUCGUAAGGACAUGUGGAGCGCUUAGAAGUGAGAAUGCCGGUGUGAGUAGCGAAAGACGGGUGAGAAUCCCGUCCACCGAUUGACUAAGGUUUCCAGAGGAAGGCUCGUCCGCUCUGGGUUAGUCGGGUCCUAAGCUGAGGCCGACAGGCGUAGGCGAUGGAUAACAGGUUGAUAUUCCUGUACCACCUAUAAUCGUUUUAAUCGAUGGGGGGACGCAGUAGGAUAGGCGAAGCGUGCGAUUGGAUUGCACGUCUAAGCAGUAAGGCUGAGUAUUAGGCAAAUCCGGUACUCGUUAAGGCUGAGCUGUGAUGGGGAGAAGACAUUGUGUCUUCGAGUCGUUGAUUUCACACUGCCGAGAAAAGCCUCUAGAUAGAAAAUAGGUGCCCGUACCGCAAACCGACACAGGUAGUCAAGAUGAGAAUUCUAAGGUGAGCGAGCGAACUCUCGUUAAGGAACUCGGCAAAAUGACCCCGUAACUUCGGGAGAAGGGGUGCUCUUUAGGGUUAACGCCCAGAAGAGCCGCAGUGAAUAGGCCCAAGCGACUGUUUAUCAAAAACACAGGUCUCUGCUAAACCGUAAGGUGAUGUAUAGGGGCUGACGCCUGCCCGGUGCUGGAAGGUUAAGAGGAGUGGUUAGCUUCUGCGAAGCUACGAAUCGAAGCCCCAGUAAACGGCGGCCGUAACUAUAACGGUCCUAAGGUAGCGAAAUUCCUUGUCGGGUAAGUUCCGACCCGCACGAAAGGCGUAACGAUUUGGGCACUGUCUCAACGAGAGACUCGGUGAAAUCAUAGUACCUGUGAAGAUGCAGGUUACCCGCGACAGGACGGAAAGACCCCGUGGAGCUUUACUGUAGCCUGAUAUUGAAAUUCGGCACAGCUUGUACAGGAUAGGUAGGAGCCUUUGAAACGUGAGCGCUAGCUUACGUGGAGGCGCUGGUGGG